GAGCAACUGGCGCAGGCGCGCUGCUCGGUUGCUGUAGAAAUGGACCUCUACCCGCCCAGAUGUUACCAUUCAUCGCGAAGGGUGUCGUGAAGAUGAAUGCCCUGUCGAACAUCAUCCAGCAGGAGGUCAAGGAAUUUUAACUGAAUGAUUGAAUAGUCUUGCAAGAUCUAUGAAACAAGCUUC
ensembl:lncRNA CBR4-DT CBR4 divergent transcript